AUUGAACGCUGGCGGCAUGCCUUACACAUGCAAGUCGAACGGCAGCACGGGAGCUUGCUCCUGGUGGCGAGUGGCGAACGGGUGAGUAAUACAUCGGAACGUACCCUGAAGUGGGGGAUAACGUAGCGAAAGUUACGCUAAUACCGCAUAUUCUGUGAGCAGGAAAGAGGGGGAUCGCAAGACCUCUUGCUUUAGGAGCGGCCGAUGUCGGAUUAGCUAGUUGGUGAGGUAAAGGCUCACCAAGGCGACGAUCCGUAGCGGGUCUGAGAGGAUGAUCCGCCACACUGGGACUGAGACACGGCCCAGACUCCUACGGGAGGCAGCAGUGGGGAAUUUUGGACAAUGGGCGCAAGCCUGAUCCAGCCAUGCCGCGUGAGUGAAGAAGGCCUCGGUU
rnacentral:rRNA from 1 species